rnacentral:rRNA from 1 species
GACGAACGCUGGCGGCGUGCUUAACACAUGCAUGUCGAACGGAAAGGCCCUGCUUUUGUGGGGUGCUCGAGUGGCGAACGGGUGAGUAACACGUGAGUAACCUGCCCUUGACUUUGUGAUAACUUCAGGAAACUGGGGCUAAUACCGGAUAGGAGCUCCUGCUGCAUGGUGGGGGUUGGAAAGUUUCGGCGGUUGGGGAUGGACUCGCGGCUUAUCAGCUUGUUGGUGGGGUAGUGGCUUACCAAGGCUUUGACGGGUAGCCGGCCUGAGAGGGUGACCGGCCACAUUGGGACUGAGAUACGGCCCAGACUCCUACGGGAGGCAGCAGUGGGGAAUAUUGCACAAUGGGCGGAAGCCUGAUGCAGCAACGCCGCGUGCGGGAUGACGGCCUUCGGGUUGUAAACCGCUUUCGCCUGUGACGAAGCGUGAGUGACGGUAAUGGGUAAAGAAGCACCGGCUAACUACGUG